rnacentral:rRNA from 1 species
GAUAAACGCUGGCGGCGUGCCUAAUACAUGCAAGUCGAGCGAACGGACGAGAAGCUUGCUUCUCUGAUGUUAGCGGCGGACGGGUGAGUAACACGUGGAUAACCUACCUAUAAGACUGGGAUAACUUCGGGAAACCGGAGCUAAUACCGGAUAAUAUUUUGAACCGCAUGGUUCAAAAGUGAAAGACGGUCUUGCUGUCACUUAUAGAUGGAUCCGCGCUGCAUUAGCUAGUUGGUAAGGUAACGGCUUACCAAGGCAACGAUGCAUAGCCGACCUGAGAGGGUGAUCGGCCACACUGGAACUGAGACACGGUCCAGACUCCUACGGGAGGCAGCAGUAGGGAAUCUUCCGCAAUGGGCGAAAGCCUGACGGAGCAACGCCGCGUGAGUGAUGAAGGUCUUCGGAUCGUAAAACUCUGUUAUUAGGGAAGAACAUAUGUGUAAGUAACUGUGCACAUCUUGACGGUACCUAAUCAGAAAGCCACGGCUAACUACGUGCCAGCAGCCGCGGUAAUACGUAGGUGGCAAGCGUUAUCCGGAAUUAUUGGGCGUAAAGCGCGCGUAGGCGGUUUUUUAAGUCUGAUGUGAAAGCCCACGGCUCAACCGUGGAGGGUCAUUGGAAACUGGAAAACUUGAGUGCAGAAGAGGAAAGUGGAAUUCCAUGUGUAGCGGUGAAAUGCGCAGAGAUAUGGAGGAACACCAGUGGCGAAGGCGACUUUCUGGUCUGUAACUGACGCUGAUGUGCGAAAGCGUGGGGAUCAAACAGGAUUAGAUACCCUGGUAGUCCACGCCGUAAACGAUGAGUGCUAAGUGCUAGGGGGUUUCCGCCCCUUAGUGCUGCAGCUAACGCAUUAAGCACUCCGCCUGGGGAGUACGACCGCAAGGUUGAAACUCAAAGGAAUUGACGGGGACCCGCACAAGCGGUGGAGCAUGUGGUUUAAUUCGAAGCAACGCGGAGAACCUUACCAAAUCUUGACAUCCUUUGACAACUCUAGAGAUAGAGCCUUCCCCUUCGGGGGACAAAGUGACAGGUGGUGCAUGGUUGUCGUCAGCUCGUGUCGUGAGAUGUUGGGUUAAGUCCCGCAACGAGCGCAACCCUUAAGCUUAGUUGCCAUCAUUAAGUUGGGCACUCUAAGUUGACUGCCGGUGACAAACCGGAGGAAGGUGGGGAUGACGUCAAAUCAUCAUGCCCCUUAUGAUUUGGGCUACACACGUGCUACAAUGGACAAUACAAAGGGCAGCGAAACCGCGAGGUCAAGCAAAUCCCAUAAAGUUGUUCUCAGUUCGGAUUGUAGUCUGCAACUCGACUACAUGAAGCUGGAAUCGCUAGUAAUCGUAGAUCAGCAUGCUACGGUGAAUACGUUCCCGGGUCU